GCGGAAGGAGCUCAGUAGGCAGAGCGUAACGAUGCCAAGGUUAAGGUAGCGAGUUAGAUUCUCGUCUUCCGCU
rnacentral:tRNA from 1 species